AGUAUUAUAAAAAUAAUUUUGUUGUUACGCAAACUUGCCAUAAAAGCGUUAUUUUUUUUUUUAAUGCACGUGUGUGUCACGUUUUCUCUAACUCCGUGCAGACAUGGCGGCGUUUUCGUCGUCGUUGUCGCGUUCAGAUACCUCCGACACUAUAACUAAGCUAGCUGAAGAAUAUUGGGUACCCCACAACAAGUCCUCAUGGAAGGAAUACGACCCGAAGGUAAUUGUGGACGUAUAUCAGAAAGAAAUCAUUGGAUCUGGCUUUGCGAUCCGCAAAGUCAUGCUUCUGGAGUUCAGUCAGUACUUGGAGAACUACUUAUGGUCACACUACGAUCCUCAAAGUGCAUCGACGGCGCACUUGAUGUCUAUCGUUGUCAUGGUAAACGAAAAAUUUCGGGAAAGAGUUCCAGCAUGGCAAACGUUCAUUGCAAGACCCGACCAUUUUCCGGCUUUCUUUCGAAAAGUUAUGGAAAGUUCUCUAGACGAGAACUUCAGGUUCUCUCUGCGAGAACAAACUGCACUACUGGUAUUCCUGAUCAACUGUUUUAACAGCAUGGAAGUGAGCCUGAUACGAGAGCAAAUUCAGCGUUUGGUCUCGCUGUCAGCGUGGAGGACCUUGUUACCCGAGCGGAGAGAGCACGAGUUUAAGCGCUUUCCAAAGUUGAAGAAAUUUUGGGCUUACGUCGAGAAAAACGACAAGAAGCUUGAUGAGCAAACGUACAAGGACCUGUUGUAUGAGCGAGAGUUUCUUUCGCGGCUCAUCGGCCGAUUUUUCAAGUAUUUAGAGUCUGUGCCAUCAACAAAAGAUGUUCCCGAGCUAGAAAAGCCGGCUCUGGAGGUUGUUCACUAUUGUGAACGCUUCCUGGAGUUUAUGAUAGACCUCGAAGCCUUGCUUCCAUCGCGACGGUUUUUCAACACCAUCAUGGACAACUCUCACCUGGUCGUCAAGUGUCGACUGUCAGCACUGUCACAACGGAAAGAAGGCCGCCUCUUUGCGCAGCUGUUAGACAGACUCAAGUUCUACUCGAAGUUUGAAAUCAGUGACCAGACAGGAGAAGAGCUCACGGACCAUGACAUGAUGCAGAUCCAUUAUGACAACAUAACGGCACUGCAGAAGGCAGCGUUUAAAGACUUCCCCGAUCUGCGGCGCUUUGCAUUGUGCAAUGUUGCCAAUGUGGACACGCGAGAAAGGCUGCUGAAACACUUUGGUUCCCUUAAAGCUACAGACCUGCACAGGCUUGCUGCUUCACUAUUUUUGGUGCCUCCACUGAGUUCAGAAAGUAAUGUAUCUCCUUACAGUCAUACCUUUCUUGAAGAACUACUAAUUUCCAGACAUGAGAAGCGCCAAUCACAGUUAGAAAGCCUGAACGAGAUGCCCUUGUAUCCUACAGAAUCGAUAAUAUGGGAUGAGAAUGUUGUUCCAUCAGAGUACUUUUCUGGAGAAGGCUGCCUGGCACUGCCAAAGCUCAAUUUGCAGUUUCUUACGUUGCAUGAUUACUUGCUACGCAACUUUCACCUCUUUCGGCUUGAGUCUACAUAUGAGAUAAGACAGGACAUUGAAGACUCGGUCAGUCGCCUGAAACCCUGGAAAACCGAGGAUGAAAGUGUUAUGUUUGGUGGCUGGGCAAGGAUGGCACAGCCUAUAGUGAAUUUUGCUAUUGUGGAAGUAGGCAAGCCAAAUAUCGGUGAGAAACAGCCUUCCAAGGUUCGUGCAGAUGUCACUGUUCACCUUAAUGUUCGCAGAGAAAUAAAGGCAGAAUGGGAGGCUCUAAGGAAACAUGACGUAUGCUUCCUUAUCACGGUGCGACCUGUCUGUCUACCAGGCACUCCUUACAACUACAAGGAGCCUUUUGUACCACAAGUAGGCCUAACUUAUGUGCGUGGCUGUGAAAUUGAAGGCCUACUUGAUCUGAAUGGAAGGGUCAUUGAAGAAGGACCGGAGCCAAAGCCCUUGUUGCCAGGUGAUACAAGAACUUACCGAAUGUGGAUGGACUGCAAUCAGUACAAGCUUGACAUGGAUCACAAUGUGAAAGGUGGGGAAGACGUUUAUGACACGUUCAACAUACUGAUGAGGAGGAAGCCAAAAGAAAACAACUUUAAGGCAGUUCUGGAAACCAUCAGAGACUUGAUGAACACAGAGUGUGUUGUACCAGAUUGGUUGCAUGACAUCAUACUUGGUUAUGGUGAUCCAGGUGCUGCACACUACUCAAAGAUGAGCAAUCAGAUUCCAGUGUUAAACUUCAAUGACACAUUUCUCAACAUGGACCACCUCCGGACAAGCUUCGAGGACAAAUGUGACAUAUCUGUAGAUGUUAAUGAUCCACGCUUACUUGUACCUCCUUUCAAAGUGACAUUUUGUGACGUUCAACAGGAGCAACAGGCAUCUCUAAAGCAGACCUUGAAAAGCGGGAAGAGUGCCACAGUUACUGAGCAGCCACCAAAGAAAGAAAAAAUCUUGGUCACACCGCACACCACUAUAAGUAGAGGACCAUAUCCAAGUGAACGGACAAAGAAAAAUGCUAUUCCCUUUACUCCAACACAAGUUGAAGCCAUUCGUGCCGGUUUACAGCCAGGCCUUACUAUUAUUGUUGGCCCACCUGGAACAGGAAAGACAGACGUGGCUGUGCAGAUCAUUUCUAAUUUGUACCACAAUUUUCCAGAACAGAGAACACUGUUGGUAACACAUUCAAAUCAAGCACUAAACCAGCUCUUUGAAAAAAUUAUGAUGCUGGACAUUGACGAGAGGCACCUGCUUCGUCUCGGCCAUGGGGAAGAGGCACUCGAAACAGAGAAGGAUUUCAGUCGUUAUGGCAGAGUCAACUAUGUAUUGGCAAAACGGCUAGAGCUGCUUCAAGAAGUCAGCAAACUUCAGGACAGUCUUGGUGUGACUGGUGACGUCUCAUACACUUGUGAGACUGCUGGCUACUUUUAUCUUUAUCAGGUUUUGUCUCGGUGGGAGGAAUUUCUUAGCAAAGUGAAAUCGAGCACAACAGAGCCAUCAACUCGGGACAUUCAAGAACAUUUUCCAUUUACCAAGUUCUUCAGCAAUGCACCACAACCUUUGUUUCAUGGGCAGUCACCUGGAGAUGACAUGGAGAAGGCAGAGAGCUGUUUCCGCUACAUCAAAGACAUUUUUGAUCAGUUAGAAGAAUUUCGAGCAUUUGAGCUACUUCGCAGUGGCCUGGACAGGUCACGGUACCUCCUUGUCAAGGAGGCCAAAGUGAUUGCCAUGACAUGCACCCACGCAGCACUGAAGCGUAGAGAGCUGGUUGACCUGGGCUUUAAGUAUGAUAACAUCCUUAUGGAAGAGUCUGCUCAAAUUUUGGAGAUUGAGACCUUCAUCCCCCUGCUUCUACAGACACCACAGGAUGGAUACAAUCGCCUCAAGCGGUGGAUCAUGAUUGGAGACCAUCAUCAACUGCCUCCUGUGGUAAAGAAUAUGGCCUUCCAAAAGUACAGCAACAUGGAACAGUCACUGUUUACAAGGUUUGUACGCUUGGGUGUGCCCGUGGUCCAGCUUGAUGGUCAAGGUCGAUCAAGGCCAAGCUUGUGCGACCUGUACAAUUGGCGUUACCAGAACCUGGGGAACUUGCCACAUGUUACAGAAUGGCCAGAGUACCGAACUGGCAAUGCAGGUUUCUGCUUCGACUAUCAACUUGUCGAUGUGGGAGACUUCAAUGGAAUAGGAGAAUCAGAACCAAACCCUUACUUUUAUCAGAACUUGGCAGAGGCAGAAUAUGUCGUGGCUGUGUUCAUGUACAUGCGGCUGUUGGGCUACCCUGCUGAACGGAUCUCCAUCUUGACCACGUACAAUGGACAGAAACAUCUCAUACGCGAUGUUGUGCGCCAGCGUUGCCAAGACAAUCCACUCAUUGGCUGUCCCCUGAAGGUAACUACUGUGGACAAGUACCAAGGCCAGCAGAAUGACUAUGUGCUCUUGUCACUGGUGCGGACACGAGCUGUGGGGCACUUGCGAGAUGUACGCCGGCUUGUAGUGGCCAUGUCACGGGCUCGCUUGGGCUUGUAUGUGUUUGCACGCAUAUCACUGUUCCAAGACUGCUUUGAGCUGGGACCUACAUUCAACCUCCUGCUUCAGAGACCUACACAGCUCUGGUUGGCACCUUGGGAGGUCUACCCUACAGGGCGCCCCAACAAUGUACCCCCUCAGGGAGAGCCAUAUGUGAUCACAGGCAUGACGCAGAUGGCCCAGUUUGUCUAUGACUUCUACCAGCAGAGAUUAGAUGCUCUCACAGCCCAGCUAAAGGCACAAAAGGCAGUGUAUGAAAAACCACCCACCACCAUCAAGGAAAGCCCCAAAGAAACUACAAGGGCCGAACAGCCUACCCCUGAAAGCCAGCCCAGUGUGGCGAUGGACACAGACAGCGAACAGCCUUCUAUUGGCCAGCCUGAGGCACCUGCGACUGGAGACAGUGCACCUGACAUUCAGAACCUGAGUAUUGUGAAAGAGGUCUGGGCUUCGUGCCGGCCACUCAAACGUUGAGAUGCAAAAGUUGUCCAGCAAUUCUUUGACGAACCUGGCUGAGUGCACCGACACCUCACCUUGCUGAAGCCACAAAAGGCCCUCGGGAAAUGAUCCUUCGAGCACGCCCCAGAGAUGGAGGGUGACUCAAGUGAUUCUGAAGAAAGGUAGCGAAAAAAAAAUGUAAAACUUCAAUCCAUCAUCUGUGAAUAAGUGAUAACAGCAUCAUGUAUUAUAAAUAAAGCACUGUCACCUGUUGCUUUGGUUCUUAGA